GGAACUAGCAUGGCGUAGUGGUUUGAGCAUUGGACUAUGACUCCGAAGGCCAGGGUUCAAAUCCAAGGUCGGCCA